GACGAACGCUGGCGGCGUGCCUAAUACAUGCAAGUUGAGCGCUGAAGGUUGGUACUUGUACCGACUGGAUGAGCAGCGAACGGGUGAGUAACGCGUGGGGAAUCUGCCUUUGAGCGGGGGACAACAUUUGGAAACGAAUGCUAAUACCGCAUAAAAACUUUAAACACAAGUUUUAAGUUUGAAAGAUGCAAUUGCAUCACUCAAAGAUGAUCCCGCGUUGUAUUAGCUAGUUGGUGAGGUAAAGGCUCACCAAGGCGAUGAUACAUAGCCGACCUGAGAGGGUGAUCGGCCACAUUGGGACUGAGACACGGCCCAAACUCCUACGGGAGGCAGCCGUAGGGAAUCCUCGGCCAUGGACGAAAGUCUGACCGAGCAACGCCGCGUGAGUGAAGAAGGUUUUCGGAUCGUAAAACUCUGUUGGUAGAGAAGAACGUUGGUGAGAGUGGAAAGCUCAUCAAGUGACGGUAACUACCCAGAAAGGGACGGCUGACUACGUG
rnacentral:rRNA from 1 species